rnacentral:rRNA from 1 species
AUUGAACGCUGGCGGCAGGCCUAACACAUGCAAGUCGAGCGGGGUUUUCGGACCUAGCGGCAGACGGGUGAGUAAUGCGUAGGAAGCUACCCGAUAGAGGGGGAUACCAGUUGGAAACGACUGUUAAUACCGCAUAAUGUCUACGGACCAAAGUGUGGGACCUUCGGGCCACAUGCUAUCGUAUGCGCCUACGUGGGAUGAGCUAGUUGGUGCGGGACUGGCUCACCAAGGCGACGAUCCCUAGCUGGUUUGAGCGGAUGAUCAGCCACACGUGAACGGGGACACGGGCCAGACUCCUACUGGAGGCAGCAGUGGGGAAGAUUGGAGAAUGGGGGCAAGCCUGAUCGGGCCAUGCCACAGGUGUGAAGAAGGCCUUCGGGUUGUAAAGCACUUGCAGUAGGGAGGAAGAGUUGUGUGUUAAUAGUACACAGCGUUGACGUUACCUACAGAAGAAGCACCGGCUAACUCUGUGCCAGCCGCCGCGGUAACAC